rnacentral:rRNA from 1 species
AGUGAACGCUGGCGGUAGGCCUAACACAUGCAAGUCGAACGGCAGCACAGUAAGAGCUUGCUCUUACGGGUGGCGAGUGGCGGACGGGUGAGGAAUACAUCGGAAUCUACUUUUUCGUGGGGGAUAACGUAGGGAAACUUACGCUAAUACCGCAUACAACCUACGGGUGAAAGCAGGGGAUCUUCGGACCUUGCGCGAUUGAUUGAGCCGAUGUCGGAUUAGCUAGUUGGCGGGGUAAAGGCCCACCAAGGCGACGAUCCGUAGCUGGUCUGAGAGGAUGAUCAGCCACACUGGAACUGAGACACGGUCCAGACUCCUACGGGAGGCAGCAGUGGGGAAUAUUGGACAAUGGGCGCAAGCCUGAUCCAGCCAUACCGCGUGGGUGAAGAAGGCCUUCGGGUUGUAAAGCCCUUUUGUUGGGAAAGAAAAGCAGCAGGUUAAUACCCCGCUGUUCUGACGGUACCCAAAGAAUAAGCACCGGCUAACUUCGUG